UAGCAGUAGUCCAGGACUCUGAUGAUUCAGAACGUGGUCUUAGGUUGCCGUUACGUUAGUUGCUUUCUUUGCUGGAGUCCUUUCCUUUGCAGAAUACAGGGUUGGUGUGGGAAGGACAUUAGUACCAUUUUUCACUCUCCUGCCUUCAGAAGGCCAAACUCCAACCUGAUGUAUGACAGCAUCCUGAUGUAUGACAACAUUCUGUUGCUCACGAAAGGCAAAUCAGUCCAGAUGAGUGAGGAAUUAAGUCCAGAGAAAUGCUGUGCUGGUAUGAUAUGCAAUUGGAAGGGCUGAGAAGGUGCAAAUAGCAACUUGGCUGGAUUCUGUCCCUAGGAGAUCAUUUCUCCUUUGCUUGAUUCUUCUCCAGCAAUAAAAGUAGCUGCAGGCUUGGGAUGAUGAGAACAUGGAAAGGCUGUAAAAGGAUUGGGAGUGUCAGGCUGAAACUGCAGUUGCCAGCUCUCAACAUGACAUCACACUUUGGGUUACUGUUGGUUUCCUUCUUUAGAAUGCAGGAACGUGGGAUAUUGCAGAAGUAAAAUCACAUCCAGUGACCUCUGGGACGGUACCAGAGCUGUCGAAGGAGUUAGAUGAUUCUUCAGUGAUUGACCUGGACACUGUCUGGAAGGCUCCCACAGAAUAGUGGGGAAGCUGGCAGGAGAUGAGCAGCAUCAGACAUGAGAUGAGAAAGGGAAGGAUUUGCCAAAGGGGAAAGAAGUCAUUAAUUUCUGCCCAUCUGGACUCAAAAGCAAAACGCGGCAUAAGAAGAAAAUUGAACUGAAGGAAGCAAGGGGUGGAGCUGGACUGAUGCUUCUGAGUCUUCCAUAUUCCCAGAGUAACAUUUGGUUUUCCAAGAGGAUAUACUGAAGGGGAGCGUCUUCUUCAUCAGGUUGAUGUGACCAGGGCAGCCCUGUCUUCUCUCCAUUGUCUAGCUGCCUCUUCUCUUUCUCUCUGCUCUGCCAUAAAAGAAG
ensembl:lncRNA